rnacentral:rRNA from 1 species
GAGCGAACGUUAGCGGCGGGCCUAACACAUGCAAGUCGAACGGGCUGUAGCAAUACAGUCAGUGGCGCACGGGUGAGUAACGCGUAGAUAAUCUACCUUCCGGCGGGGGAUAACAUUCCGAAAGGAAUGCUAAUACCGCAUAAGACCACGGGGUCCUCGGGCCCUGAGGGAAAAGGUGGCCUCUCCUUGGAAGCCAUCACCGGAAGAUGAGUCUGCGUCCCAUCAGCUAGUUGGUAAGGUAAUGGCUUACCAAGGCGAAGACGGGUAGCUGGUCUGAGAGGAUGAUCAGCCACACUGGUACUGGAACACGGACCAGACUCCUACGGGAGGCAGCAGUGGGGAAUAUUGGGCAAUGGGCGAAAGCCUGACCCAGCCACGCCGCGUGAGUGAUGAAGCCUGGUGUAAGUACGUCUGUGGU